rnacentral:rRNA from 1 species
UACGUAGGGAGCGAGCGUUGUCCGGAAUUACUGGGUGUAAAGGGCGUGUAGGCGGGCGAUCAAGUCAGAUGUGAAAUACCCGGGCUCAACUUGGGAGCUGCAUUUGAAACUGAACGUCUUGAGUGGUGGAGAGGAAAGCGGAAUUCCUAGUGUAGCGGUGAAAUGCGUAGAUAUUAGGAGGAACACCAGUGGCGAAGGCGGCUUUCUGGACACUAACUGACGCUGAGGCGCGAAAGCAUGGGGAGCAAAC